rnacentral:rRNA from 1 species
GAUGAACGCUGGCGGCGUGCUUAACACAUGCAAGUCGAACGAUGAAGCCCAGCUUGCUGGGUGGAUUAGUGGCGAACGGGUGAGUAACACGUGAGUAACCUGCCCUUAACUCUGGGAUAAGCCUGGUAAACUGGGUCUAAUACCGGAUAGGAGCGCCUACCGCAUGGUGGGUGUUGGAACGAUUUAUCGGUUUUGGAUGGACUCGCGGCCUAUCCGCUUGUUGGUGGGGUAAUGGCUCACCAAGGCGACGACGGGUAGCCGGCCUGAGAGGGUGACCGGCCACACUGGGACUGAGACACGGCCCAGACUCCUACGGGAGGCAGCAGUGGGGAAUAUUGCACAAUGGGCGAAAGCCUGAUGCAGCGACGCCGCGUGAGGGAUGACGGCCUUCGGGUUGUAAACCUCUUUCAGUAGGGAAGAAGCGAAAGUGACGGUACCUGCAGAAGAAGCACCGGCUAACUACGUG